CACGGGGUUGCGAGCGUUGUCCGGAAUUACUAGGCGUAAAGGGCAGGCAGGUGGGAUCCAUAAGUUUAUCGUUUAAGGCGUCGGCUUAACCGGCGUAGGGCGGUAGAUACUGUGGAUCUGGAAUGCGGUUGGGGAAGACAGAAUUCCUGGUGUAGCGGUUGAAUGCGCAGAGAUCAGGAGGAAUACCGAAGGCGAAGGCAGUCUUCCAAGCCGUUAUUGACGCUCAACUGCGAAGGUGUGGGUAUCAAACAGGAUUAGAUACCCGGGUAGUCCCUGAG
rnacentral:rRNA from 1 species